rnacentral:rRNA from 1 species
GACGAACCAUGCAAACGUUAUUCGGAUUCACUGGGCUUAAAGCGUGCGUAGGCGGUCUUGUUAGUCAGGUGUGAAAGCCCUCAGCUCAACUGAGGAAUUGCGCUUGAUACUGCAUGACUAGAGAAUGAUAGAGGUGGGUGGAACUGAUGGUGGAGCGGUGAAAUGCGUUGAUAUCAUCAGGAACACCAGUGGCGAAGGCGACCCACUGGGUCAUUUCUGACGCUGAGGUACGAAAGCUAGGUAGCGAACGGGG